AUAUAGUCCGCUAAAAUUUACCACCAUAUCUAUUAGCACCCCUCUCCCUCUGUAUACAUCGCUGGAACCCUAAUCACUUUGGCGGACUGUAACAAAAGUGGACUUCUCAAACGGUGGAUUCUUUCUACUUGUUGAUCAUCAUUCCCUUCUCACAGAGUUUGUGUUCUUAUAACUUUCCACUCUAAUGGUAGUUUGUUUGCGAAGUGUGCUGAUCGAAGCUACUUAGCCUAUCACAUAAGCAGUUUUAAUGCUAAUUAAGCUGGUAGUUUCAUUCUGUUGUUGCCUCUCGGUCUCUUUUUAUUUUAGUGUUUGUAUAUGGCCAUUUUAGUGCCUUUGAUUUCGGACGUUGUCUUUCUCAUUUCCACCAACUUUGACAACAUAUAUUGAGUGGUUAAGAUAAUAAGAAACUACCUGGUUACUUGUAACAAUGUCAAGUUGUUUGGGGAGUUCUUUAGUAAUAAUGAUGACCAGUGGCGGAACCAGAAAAAACUUUUAGGGGUAUCCUAAUUUUUUUUUAACCUAAAUUCAUAAAACGGAUACAUUUUUUUACUGUCCUUUCAGGCAGUGACAUAUAUUAUUUAACUAAUAUUUUGUUUCUAUAUUAACAAUCGUGUGUCGACUUCUAUUUUUUUAACAAUCAAUGUAGUAUAAACACAAAAACGAUGACCGAAUACUUUUAACAUUACUUAAAUUGCUAUUUAAGGAUUUGAUAUUUUUUUAUUAAAAAGUUAGAAAAAGGAUAGAUCUAUACAAUACAUAAUUUAUUUAAACAUUCCACAGAUAAAACAGUUUACUAAAAAUUUAAUAAUCAGUAAAAAAUAGAAAAAAGGAAAAAGUAUAAUAAAAAACUAAUCUAUAGACUUAUAUAAACCAUUUCCUUGUCCUAUAAUGGUCAUUUCCACCACAAAUUUUAAGACGGCAACUGAAAGGUCAUGGCUAAUUUCCACUAUUUUCAUCACAACUAUCAAAUUUGCCCCUCUUGAAUGACAUUUCAGUGAUUAUGUACCUCAAUCGUAAUUUACAAUUGAAUGGGAUCAAUUGAGGGGAUUGAAUGCGAGCCUACGUAUCGACUGAGUGUUGAAUGCGAGCCUGCAUAUCAAUUGAGUGGGAUUGAAUGCAAGCCCGGAAUUGAAUCGUUUCAGAGUAAAUGAAGCAGGGUAAUUUCUUAACGGAGAGAAUUUGACCGUCUCAAGCAAUCAAGAAGCCAUAAAUUUCAUAAUCCUUUGGAAACCGUUGGAAGAUCUUAAAAUGGGUACGUAUCAUGUGCUACAUCCCCAUCGUCUUCUCUGUUUUUCCAAAGCCGACGAAAACUACAGUAACCACCGGAACCAACUAUCAAAGUGGUCAUGUUUCCCAUUUGUUCGGCAUCCCGCGAAAGCAUGUAAAGGCCAUUACACAAUGCCCCCUUUAAUGUCGGAUCCAUUGCUCAUUUUGGUGCAGGGGUAUUUUUGCUAUUCAACUAAUCGGCAUAAUCAGCUUCAUUACAUGGCUAAAUGAUUGUUGCUUAUCGGAAAAAUUCGCAGAAAGAUGUCAUAUCCAUUUCAUGUUGCUUGCAACUACUGCGUACGUUGUGUGCAUACUCGGGAUCAUUUUAAUGUACAUUUGGUACACAUCACAACCGACUUGUUUGUCUAACAUUUUCUUUAUUACGUGGACACUUGUACUACUCCAACUUAUGACCAGUGUUUCUCUUCACCCGAAAGUUAGCGCCGGUUUCUUGACUCCGGGAUUUAUGGGGCUGUAUAUAGUGUUCCUAUGCUGAUCUGCCAUUCAUAGAUGUUUAAGUUUAUAAGCCACCUACUGGACGAAUAUAUGCUAUGAUGAGAAACGGGGCCUUCCUGCUGAUAAUGAAGCUAGAGAUAUAUUGCUGUAAUAUUUGCCACCUGCACGUGUCUUGCCUUUUGGUUGUAAAGGAUGGAUGGAACUGGAGCCGGUCUUGUUGUACAUGAGAAAGCACUCGGAAAGUGAGUUUCGCUUACUUUAUGACUAUAUACAAACACACAUAUGUGUCGAAUAUGCUUUUUAAAGGUUGUGCUAAACGUACCCCACCCCCUCUCUUUAUACUUAUUGCAUCCCCUCAACUUAUCACAAUGGUUGAGCACACGUUGUCCGGAAAUAAGCCAUUUUAUAUGCUCGGAGUCUCUUUUGGAGGAGCCUUAGCGCUUGCAAUCGCUGCUCGUAAUCCUACAAUUGACUUAGUACUUAUCCUAGCAAAUCCAGCAACGUCCUAUGUGAGGUCAGCAUUGCACCCUUUAGUAGCAUUCACGAGGACUCUUCCUGAUCAAUGUUAUGGGACAUUUCCGUAUAUCACGAGCUUCCUUCUGGGUGAUUUUAUAAAGAUAACAACGGCUAAUAAUAAAAUGGAUGGUACAAACCAGUCUCUGCCCCUCGUUCAACUCAUGUGCCGUAUAAUUCGACAUCUACCACUCUAUUCUUCGCUGACCAAAAUAAUACCAAAGGAUACUCUUAAAUGGAGAAUCGAUCUACUUGAAUCAACGGCUGCGUAUGCUAAUUCACGACUUCACGCUGUUACAGCUCAAGUACUUGUGCUUGCCAGUGGCAAGGAUAACCU